UCCAUUCGUUUCGCUAUUGCAAAGUCGAAUGUUAAUUGAAGAGUUAUCUCCACAGUUUGAAACAGAACUUUCCACCAUGAACUACACUUCACUGCUCUUCCUUUGCUGAAGCAUUUGUCUCUGGCACUGCAAUGUUGCCAUAAUUGAAAAGAUUCCAAUAGUUGGAGGCUUACUCGACAAAGCCAAGCAGACAAUAGGGUAAUAAAACCUUAUAGAAUCCAAACAUAUUUGUACUUAAAGUGCACUGUUAAUAUGUGGAAAUUUAUCUACUUAAUAAAUAAUGCAAAAUAAAA